rnacentral:guide_RNA from 1 species
AAUAACAACAAUGACUAAAUUAACAGAGUAGUGAUAGUCAA